rnacentral:rRNA from 1 species
CAAUAGCGUAUAUUAAAGUUGUUGCAGUUAAAAAGCUCGUAGUUGAAUUUCGGGUCCCCGCGCUCGGCGCUUCGUUGUGCCGUCGUGGUGUCCCUCCUCGCCGUCAGGCGUCCUUUACUGUGAAAAAAUUAGAGUGUUCAAAGCAGGCAAUCGCUUGAAUACAUUAGCAUGGAAUAAUAAGAUAGGAUCUUGUCUAUUUUGUUGGUUGCGGACAAUGAUAAUGAUUAAUAGGGAUAGUUGGGGGUGUCCGUAUUGAGCUGUCAGAGGUGAAAUUCUUGGAUUUGCUCAAGACGAACUACUGCGAAAGCAUUCACCAAGGAUGUUUUCAUUAA